UUUAUGGAGAGUUUGAUCCUGGCUCAGGAUGAACGCUGGCGGCGUGCCUAAUACAUGCAAGUCGAGCGAACGGACGAGAAGCUUGCUUCUCUGAUGUUAGCGGCGGACGGGUGAGUAACACGUGGAUAACCUACCUAUAAGACUGGGAUAACUUCGGGAAACCGGAGCUAAUACCGGAUAAUAUUUUGAACCGCAUGGUUCAAAAGUGAAAGACGGUCUUGCUGUCACUUAUAGAUGGAUCCGCGCUGCAUUAGCUAGUUGGUAAGGUAACGGCUUACCAAGGCAACGAUGCAUAGCCGACCUGAGAGGGUGAUCGGCCACACUGGAACUGAGACACGGUCCAGACUCCUACGGGAGGCAGCAGUAGGGAAUCUUCCGCAAUGGGCGAAAGCCUGACGGAGCAACGCCGCGUGAGUGAUGAAGGUCUUCGGAUCGUAAAACUCUGUUAUUAGGGAAGAACAUAUGUGUAAGUAACUGUGCACAUCUUGACGGUACCUAAUCAGAAAGCCACGGCUAACUACGUGCCAGCAGCCGCGGUAAUACGUAGGUGGCAAGCGUUAUCCGGAAUUAUUGGGCGUAAAGCGCGCGUAGGCGGUUUUUUAAGUCUGAUGUGAAAGCCCACGGCUCAACCGUGGAGGGUCAUUGGAAACUGGAAAACUUGAGUGCAGAAGAGGAAAGUGGAAUUCCAUGUGUAGCGGUGAAAUGCGCAGAGAUAUGGAGGAACACCAGUGGCGAAGGCGACUUUCUGGUCUGUAACUGACGCUGAUGUGCGAAAGCGUGGGGAUCAAACAGGAUUAGAUACCCUGGUAGUCCACGCCGUAAACGAUGAGUGCUAAGUGUUAGGGGGUUUCCGCCCCUUAGUGCUGCAGCUAACGCAUUAAGCACUCCGCCUGGGGAGUACGACCGCAAGGUUGAAACUCAAAGGAAUUGACGGGGACCCGCACAAGCGGUGGAGCAUGUGGUUUAAUUCGAAGCAACGCGAAGAACCUUACCAAAUCUUGACAUCCUUUGACAACUCUAGAGAUAGAGCCUUCCCCUUCGGGGGACAAAGUGACAGGUGGUGCAUGGUUGUCGUCAGCUCGUGUCGUGAGAUGUUGGGUUAAGUCCCGCAACGAGCGCAACCCUUAAGCUUAGUUGCCAUCAUUAAGUUGGGCACUCUAAGUUGACUGCCGGUGACAAACCGGAGGAAGGUGGGGAUGACGUCAAAUCAUCAUGCCCCUUAUGAUUUGGGCUACACACGUGCUACAAUGGACAAUACAAAGGGCAGCGAAACCGCGAGGUCAAGCAAAUCCCAUAAAGUUGUUCUCAGUUCGGAUUGUAGUCUGCAACUCGACUACAUGAAGUUGGAAUCGCUAGUAAUCGUAGAUCAGCAUGCUACGGUGAAUACGUUCCCGGGUCUUGUACACACCGCCCGUCACACCACGAGAGUUUGUAACACCCGAAGCCGGUGGAGUAACCUUUUAGGAGCUAGCCGUCGAAGGUGGGACAAAUGAUUGGGGUGAAGUCGUAACAAGGUAGCCGUAUCGGAAGGUGCGGCUGGAUCACCUCCUUUCU
rnacentral:rRNA from 1 species